rnacentral:ncRNA from 1 species
GUAUUCCUUGAAAGUAGGGACAUCUCCCCUAAUAAGGAAGAGAACAGCCUUUGGGCUUAACUACCACUAAAUAUGUAUAAAUAUAUAUUACAUAAAUAUGAAAAUAUAAUAUAAACAAUCUUU